ensembl:lncRNA
CAAGAAUUCUGAAAGCACAUUACUAAAUGAAGAUAUUACUCAGCAUGUAUUUGCAUUGUUUUUGCAUGUGCUUCUCAGCACAUUACACAACUAUUGUGAACUAAGACUUUUUAGGUACUUGCAGUGGAACAGUAGUAGCAAAUAAAACGUGCAGCUAAGGAAGGGCUGCCCAAAGCGUCAUCGGUAAACUUACAUCUGUUUUGAUGUCCAUGCGAUCCUGUGGCACAUGGGAUUACCAAGCCUUGCUAAGUUUAAAGUCCAGUAAUCCUCUUUUGUGCAGUAACACGUGUAGAUACUUUAUAACAGCUUAGAUGGUAAUUAGCAGGGGAUUUCGGAUUCAUUGACUGGAUACAAAUAUAGAAUCAGGGAGGGAAAGACCUAGGCAGCAAUUCUCAAAUGAGGGGACACUAAUGCAGUGGGCUUUGCAAUAUUUAUGGGGUCGGCAGUAAGCCAGCAGAAUUUCCAAGAAGAGUUGAUGUUAUUGGCAUUUGGGAUUGCAAACAAAAAUGAAGUCUUAAUCAGAAAUAGAGAAAGACCAUUUUAGGUAGGAGAAGUUUUGUGUUUAGAUCUGUAUUUUUCUGAUAUUCUGUAGCUGAGACAUAAAUCCAUCAGGGCUGUCACUCCAGCUGGUUGUGUCAGCAAUUGCUGUUCUGCUUUUUGAGUAUUUGGGGAAUUAGCUGUUGAUUCAGCCUUAUUAAAUUAAUGUGUUUUGAUAUGCCUUACAAAAAUGGUCCUUGCAUGAAGUGAGAGAGUGAAAUGAGUUGAGCUACCUCCACCUGACCUUGUUUUACAUGCAGAGACCUUACUACUGUAGCUAAAUGAAAGGAAAUGUAAGUUUUUACUAUUUUCACUAUUCUAGAAAUCAAUGUAAUCACCAAAUGAAUCUUACUGAAAAUGCACUGGCUUUCUGCUUACAGGUUUUCUGCAUUUCAGUUAUUCACUAAUGUAAUAUUACAUUAUAUUUUUGAUUUCACUGCCAGCUAGCCAAGUUGAGAAAAUGCAGAAUUUGCAGGAUAAGGGCCUAAGAGUGUAAUGAAAAUCCCUUUAGUUUUCUUUUAUUGCUUGAGAGAAAUGUUAUUUUUGUAAGGAUGGGAUUCAUAUCAGCUGCAAAUGCAAACUCGCAUCCUAGAGGAGAUAGGAGCUGAAGGCACAUUUUUAUGUGCCUCAGAAACUGUGAGUUCAGCUGUUGGUUUAUGUGUUGGUUGUUUCACGCAUACUUUCUUGUCAGAAAAUCAAGAGGCUAGAGUAUAUAGCCUUAGGUUAGAGCUGGUUUUGAACAGUAGUUUGAAUUUAAAGAAAUACCAUUAAAAAUUUAUCUGAACUGACAUUUUUGACUUUUUUUAAGAAACAAGUUUUAUUUUGUCUCUUACUUUGACUUAUAGUCUGAUAGAUUUGUAUAUCCAGGAAUAGGCUUUGGCAUCUGAUUCUUUUUGUAGAAUUGAAUAAAUGUUUUUGUUAAAAAAAACAUUCCACAAGUGUGUAAAAAUUCUCUUUUAUUCACUGCCCUGCCCACAACAUAUCAAUGAAGUAACUAAAAUUUUCCUCUUAUAUUUUUUUACAAUUAAAAUGUUAUCCUGAUUUCAUCAGCACGUUUAUGUUUUACUGAAAGUUGCACAUCUCAUUCUUUUGCAUUGAUUCCUCCCUUUCCUUUCUUUCCAAAGCACUGAAUAAGGAGUCCUUCUUGUGGCUGCUCCUUGAUGAACUCUGAGGAGUCUCAUGUUUCACAUUUUUACAGAAAUAUCUUUCUCUGUGCUGGUAGAGUUUUUCCUUGUUUUUAGCAGAGCCCUUAAAAAGUGCACCAAGAAACAUUUCAGUAAAUCUAAGACUGAAAGUGAAAGAGAGAUGACUCAGUCUGUAGAAACACUUGCUUUCUAGUUCAGCUGCCAAAAUGAAAUAGUUAUAUGUGGUCCAAAUAGCACAUGUGGAAACGGGCCCAAAUGUUACCAUUAUGUUAGAUUGCCAAGUCCUGUGUUGUCAGCAAAGGCUGUUGGCAGUGGGACAGUGAUGUGACACUCAUUCAAAUUGGGAAGUGCUGGACUUUGAACUUCCCUUUCCAAUGGAUUUGAUUUGAUCAUUGACUGGUUACAAGUCACAGUAGCAGGGCAGCAGCUUCUCCUUUUGGGUGCUGAGUUUAAGCCCCAAAGGUUCACAUUAGUUGCUUAAAUAGUUACAGCAAUUGGCUUUUGACAACAUAAGGCCCACGAGCAACUAUUUCUCCUCCUUUCUUAAGCCAGAUGUAAAUAAACACUAUACAAGCCCCCCACAGAGUCAUGCAAAAUGGCACAUCUCAGGAUGGGCUUUUUUUCUUUUAAGCUGUCUAUCUUGUAC